GAUGAACGCUGGCGGCGUGCUUAACACAUGCAAGUCGAACGGAAAGGCUCCUGCUUGCAGGGGUACUCGAGUGGCGAACGGGUGAGUAACACGUGGGUGAUCUGCCCUGCACUUCGGGAUAAGCCUGGGAAACUGGGUCUAAUACCGGAUAGGACGAUGGUUUGGAUGCCAUUGUGGAAAGUUUUUCGGUGUUGGAUGAGCUCGCGGCCUAUCAGCUUGUUGGUGGGGUAAUGGCCUACCAAGGCGUCGACGGGUAGCCGGCCUGAGAGGGUGUACGGCCACAUUGGGACUGAGAUACGGCCCAGACUCCUACGGGAGGCAGCAGUGGGGAAUAUUGCACAAUGGGCGCAAGCCUGAUGCAGCGACGCCGCGUGGGGGAUGACGGCCUUCGGGUUGUAAACUCCUUUCGCUAGGGACGAAGCGCAAGUGACGGUACCUGGAGAAGAAGCACCGGCUAACUACGUG
rnacentral:rRNA from 1 species